rnacentral:lncRNA from 1 species
AUACCUGAGGCGUGUUGAUCGCACUGUCCUUAAGGAUUUAUCCGCCUCAUAAGCGCAAAUCCCCCAGGAUUCAACAGGUCCUUCCCGGAUAUGAAUCAUAUUCGAGGAAACAGAACUAGCAAGAAAUAAUAGAAACCAGUGAUGUAAUCCAUGAAGAUCCAACUCAAUUUAUGUUGAAGAAGAAAAUAAAUAAUCUCAUGAAAACAAAUGAAGGAGGAAUCAUUUUUGUGAACUCAUAGUCCUCUCUC